AUGAUGCCGAAUCGUUAUUCGGUUCCGCUGUUAUCAUGAAUUCCAACUGCACAACGAUGCUCACACUGUCUUCUUCCACAGCGCUCAAGACUUCAAUGGCUUUCAAUCUGACGAUUGCGUUAAUAGGAUUUCCGUUGUUUGGUUGGUCUUCGUUAAAAUUGUGGACAGGAGCAUACACUCAAAAUUUUCACAAAAACCUUCGAAUAAUUGCUCAAAUGCACCUUACCGGAUUCCUGCUGCAUUGCUCAGGUCGAAUUAUGCUUCAUUCAUUGGAUCUGUACAACUACACGUUUUUGAAUCCGUGUGCGAUGAUACCAAAUAUUUACAGGUGUUUUACGUUGCGAUUGAUGUAUAAUUUUGGAAUGUGGGUAACCAUGUGCACUGCAGUACCACUCGUACUCGAAAGGACCUUAGCAACACAUUUGAAAGGUAGAUAUGAAAACAAGAGGAUUUGGUAUGGAAUCCUUUUUGCAUCACUCCACGUAUUUCUGGCUGCUGCUCCACUAAUGAUUGCAUAUUCAAAUACGAAAUUCGAUGGAGUUUUUAUGCCGUACUGCAAUAUCUACAUGCCUGGUCACCCUGAAAUCGCAAAUGCAAAUUCCAUUAUUGCCAUCACGGUUCAGAUAUUAGCACGCAUUUCCUUUGGUUGCCUCUUUCAUGUCAAUAAGAACCUUCGAUCAAGUAUGCAAAGAUCUUCAUUGUCCACUCGAUUUCAAUUGGAACAAAACAAAAACUCAAUGCAAUGCCUCAAAAUUUAUGCCAACACUAGCACAAUAUUCCUUCUCAUUCAAAUUCCUUCAUUCGGUUGGAUAUUAAAUGAAAAAUUUCGUCCAGAAUACUAUUUAGCUCUUCAAGAAUUAAAUUGUGCAUUCCCAUCGUACGGAAUAAUAACCGUUUUCUUGGUUAGCAGGAAAAUUUUUUCGGUUCAUAAUCAAAUACAUUCAAGUUUGGAAUCACAAAUGAAGUUGCAAGGGGAAAUAACAUACUUUGAGCAUUUCAAUCAACAAAUUUCAACUUCUAAAAGUUCUUAA